UUUUCUUUGGUGUUGAGCACAGAAAAGUUUGAAGUUUCAGGAAAAUGACUAUUUAAGAAAAACC
rnacentral:tRNA from 1 species